AACGAACGNCUGGCGGCAGGCUAACACAUGCAAGUCGAACGCCCCGCAAGGGGAGUGGCAGACGGGUGAGUAACGCGUGGGAAUCUACCCAGUUCUACGGAACAACACAGGGAAACUUGUGCUAAUACCGUAUACGCCCUACGGGGGAAAGAUUUAUCGGAAUUGGAUGAGCCCGCGUAAGAUUAGCUAGUUGGUGGGGUAAUGGCCUACCAAGGCGACGAUCUUUAGCUGGUCUGAGAGGAUGAUCAGCCACACUGGGACUGAGACACGGCCCAGACUCCUACGGGAGGCAGCAGUGGGGAAUAUUGGACAAUGGGCGCAAGCCUGAUCCAGCCAUGCCGCGUGAGUGAUGAAGGCCUUAGGGUUGUAAAGCUCUUUCAGUGGGGACGAUAAUGACGGUACCCACAGAAGAAGCCCCGGCUAACUUCGUGCCAGCAGCCGCGGUAAUACGAAGGGGGCUAGCGUUGUUCGGAUUUACUGGGCGUAAAGCGCACGUAGGCGGAUCGUUAAGUCGGGGGUGAAAUCCUGGAGCUCAACUCCAGAACUGCCUUCGAUACUGGCGAUCUUAAGUCCGGAAGAGGUGAGUGGAACUCCUAGU
rnacentral:rRNA from 1 species